UACGGAGGGUGCAAGCGUUAUCCGGAUUCACUGGGUUUAAAGGGUGCGUAGGCGGUCAGGUAAGUCGGUGGUGAAAUCUCCGAGCUUAACUCGGAAACUGCCGUUGAUACUACUUGUCUUGAAUAUUGUGGAGGUAAGCGGAAUAUGUCAUGUAGCGGUGAAAUGCUUAGAUAUGACAUAGAACACCAAUUGCGAAGGCAGCUUACUACACAAUGAUUGACGCUGAGGCACGAAAGCGUGGGGAUCAAACAGG
rnacentral:rRNA from 1 species